rnacentral:rRNA from 1 species
CCUACGGGAGGCAGCAGUAGGGAAUAUUGCUCAAUGGGGGAAACCCUGAAGCAGCAACGCCGCGUGGAGGAUGAAGGUUUUCGGAUUGUAAACUCCUUUUGUUAGAGAAGAUAAUGACGGUAUCUAACGGAUCCGCACCGGCUAACUCCGUGCCAGCCGCCGCGGUACUACGGAGGGUGCACGCGUUACUCGGAAUCACUGGGCGUAAAGAGCGCGUAGGCGGGAUAGCAAGUCAGAUGUGAAAUCCUCUGGCUUAACCAUAGAACUGCAUUUGAAACUGUUAGUCUAGAGUAUGGGAGAGGUAGGUGGAAUUCUUGGUGUAGGGGUAAAAUCCGUAGAGAUUAAGAGGAAUA